GUGCCUAAUACAUGCAAGUUGAGCGCUGAAGGUUGGUACUUGUACCGACUGGAUGAGCAGCGAACGGGUGAGUAACGCGUGGGGAAUCUGCCUUUGAGCGGGGGACAACAUUUGGAAACGAAUGCUAAUACCGCAUAAAAACUUUAAACACAAGUUUUAAGUUUGAAAGAUGCAAUUGCAUCACUCAAGGAUGAUCCCGCGUUGUAUUAGCUAGUUGGUGAGGUAAAGGCUCACCAAGGCGAUGAUACAUAGCCGACCUGAGAGGGUGAUCGGCCACAUUGGGACUGAGACACGGCCCAAACUCCUACGGGAGGCAGCAGUAGGGAAUCUUCGGCAAUGGACGAAAGUCUGACCGAGCAACGCCGCGUGAGUGAAGAAGGUUUUCGGAUCGUAAAACUCUGUUGGUAGAGAAGAACGUUGGUGAGAGUGGAAAGCUCAUCAAGUGACGGUAACUACCCAGAAAGGGACGGCUAACUACGUGCCAGCAGCCGCGGUAAUACGUAGGUCCCGAGCGUUGUCCGGAUUUAUUGGGCGUAAAGCGAGCGCAGGUGGUUUAUUAAGUCUGGUGUAAAAGGCAGUGGCUCAACCAUUGUAUGCAUUGGAAACUGGUAGACUUGAGUGCAGGAGAGGAGAGUGGAAUUCCAUGUGUAGCGGUGAAAUGCGUAGAUAUAUGGAGGAACACCGGUGGCGAAAGCGGCUCUCUGGCCUGUAACUGACACUGAGGCUCGAAAGCGUGGGGAGCAAACAGGAUUAGAUACCCUGGUAGUCCACGCCGUAAACGAUGAGUGCUAGAUGUAGGGAGCUAUAAGUUCUCUGUAUCGCAGCUAACGCAAUAAGCACUCCGCCUGGGGAGUACGACCGCAAGGUUGAAACUCAAAGGAAUUGACGG
rnacentral:rRNA from 1 species